rnacentral:rRNA from 1 species
UGGGGAAUUUUGGACAAUGGGCGAAAGCCUGAUCCAGCAAUGCCGCGUGUGUGAAGAAGGCCUUCGGGUUGUAAAGCACUUUUGUCCGGAAAGAAAUCCUUGGCUCUAAUACAGUCGGGGGAUGACGGUACCGGAAGAAUAAGCACCGGCUAACUACGUGCCAGCAGCCGCGGUAAUACGUAGGGUGCAAGCGUUAAUCGGAAUUACUGGGCGUAAAGCGUGCGCAGGCGGUUUGCUAAGACCGAUGUGAAAUCCCCGGGCUCAACCUGGGAACUGCAUUGGUGACUGGCAGGCUAGAGUAUGGCAGAGGGGGGUAGAAUUCCACGUGUAGCAGUGAAAUGCGUAGAGAUGUGGAGGAAUACCGAUGGCGAAGGCAGCCCCCUGGGCCAAUACUGACGCUCAUGCACGAAAGCGUGGGGAGCAAACAGGAUUAGAUACCCUGGUAGUCCACGCCCUAAACGAGGUCAACUAGUUGUUGGGGAUUCAUUUCCUUAGUAACGUAGCUAACGCGUGAAGUUGACCGCCUGGGGAGUACGGUCGCAAGAUUAAAACUUAAAUGAAUUGACGGGGUCAUAGCUGUUUCCU